GUGCCGCUCGUGUAUUAUAAUAGUCACGGCGACGAUGCCAUUGGUCCGUCGGUCUCGCGAUCGCCCCUGUGCGACCGGCGGCGGCAACAAACAUCUGCCGUCUGCGUGUAUCGUCGUGUACGCGUAUACGUAUUUAUUGCCCGGGAAUGAGAGACGGGGCGAGACGGAGAGGGCGAGAGAGGGAGCGAGGACAAAAGGAACAUGGUGCUGACAAGUCAGCGCGUUCGCUUUGUGCCGAUGACGAAUGUUCCGUCGAAUCAGCGAAAUUGCAACGCCGCCGCCGCCGCCGCGCCUCCGCCUCUGCA